GUGAGUAACACGUGGAUAACCUACCUAUAAGACUGGGAUAACUUAGGGAAACCGGAGCUAAUACCGGAUAAUAUAUUGAACCGCAUGGUUCAAUAGUGAAAGACGGUUUUGCUGUCACUUAUAGAUGGAUCCGCGCCGCAUUAGCUAGUUGGUAAGGUAACGGCUUACCAAGGCAACGAUGCGUAGCCGACCUGAGAGGGUGAUCGGCCACACUGGAACUGAGACACGGUCCAG
rnacentral:rRNA from 1 species